UAGGGAAUCUUCCGCAAUGGGCGAAAGCCUGACGGAGCAACGCCGCGUGAGUGAUGAAGGUCUUCGGAUCGUAAAACUCUGUUAUUAGGGAAGAACAAAUGUGUAAGUAACUAUGCACGUCUUGACGGUACCUAAUCAGAAAGCCACGGCUAACUACGUGCCAGCAGCCGCGGUAAUACGUAGGUGGCAAGCGUUAUCCGGAAUUAUUGGGCGUAAAGCGCGCGUAGGCGGUUUUUUAAGUCUGAUGUGAAAGCCCACGGCUCAACCGUGGAAGGUCAUUGGAAACUGUAAGACUUGAGUGCAGAAGAGGAAAGUGGAAUUCCAUGUGUAGCGGUGAAAUGCGCAGAUAUAUGGAGGAACACCAGUGGCGAAGGCGACUUUCUGGUCUGUAACUGACACUAAUGUGCGAAAGCGUGCGGAUCAAACAGG
rnacentral:rRNA from 1 species